CUCUAUAUAAGCGGAGGAGAGACUGCUCCAUUGCUGUAAGUGAGGAGUUCAGAAUAGUGACAGUAGUCCAAACAUGGAAAUGCUCCCAAGGAUUGUCGUGGUGUUUCUGGUCAUGACGGUAAUAUUUGGGAUGCAAGAGGUGAUGUCCAAGGAAGUUAGCUUGUGUAACAUGAGCGAGAACGACCUAUUAGCUUGCAAGCCGGCGGUGAGCAAGCAAAAUCCUGCAGACCCGUCGCCGGCGUGUUGCAAGGCUCUCUCCAGUGCUGACUUGUCUUGUCUUUGCUCCUACAAGAACUCCAUCCUCUUGCCUUCUCUUGGGAUUAAUCCUGACUUUGCCAUGCAACUCCCUACGAAAUGCAACCUUAAUCCACCUGCCAAAUGCUAAGGAAACAAGGAGCUAAUGAAGUGGUUGCUCUUAUCUAAAUGUGUUUGAAGGAUGUGCUAUGUUUUAGUUGUCCUCGUAUCGUCAUGUAGUGUAUGCUUGUAUUGUUCUUCUUUUUCGAUCUUUAGUUCGGAUGUGGCCAUUAAACUAUCUGUAGUUUGAAGGGUUAAAAAUAUAAUAAUAUCUUAGCUAGUGUUUGGCCAACUCUUCUGUGCUUAGGCUCAGUUUGAAGA